ACCCACCGCUGCCCACUGAGAUGUCUGAGCACUGGGAACACGUUUCUGCUUCAGUCACGCUCAGUCCCCAUUACUAGGGGAGCUGCAAUAUCCGUAAAAUUAACCGUGCCUGUGAAAUAGCUCAGUCAAGGUUUCCUCUGACCUCACCUCCUUCUCCUCAUCUCGUAGACCUGCCGUCCAGGUCUCAGGUUGGAAGCCUCUUUCUCCAGGGUCUUCGUCCUGCUCUAACCUCUUCCUGGAGCGACAAUGACUCCUACUUCUGGUCUCUUCUCACCACCUCUUCUUGAGGCGGUUCCUGGUGUCUCCUCUCGUCCCAACUUACUUUCUUUUGCGUCCAGCAUCUGUUGCCGUCAGAAAUGAUCCUGGUUAGGAGCGGAGCCGCGUAUCACGGGAACAGAGCUCCAACCAGAUCCAGAACGGCACCCGGAUCGCAGUACGUGCUCACUUUUCAGAGCCACAGCUUAUCUCAACUGGGAAGGCACCUCGUCACCUGUUACCUCCACCUCUAACUGGGUGUCCUGCCACUCAGCUCGUUCUAACAGCAGCUCCCCAGGUGGAUUCUUUACCAAUGGAGCCACGAGAGAAGCCCGUUCUCCUCACGAUGCCUGUUAUGAAGGAUGCAGCUCAAGACCGGCCAAAUGGAAGAGCCUCGCAGAACAGGGAUGGGGGUGGGGGGGGGUGAAGCACGGGCCCCAUCUCCUGCCCCCCGGCACACAUCCUCCCAGAACCCUGGUGUGUUCCCCAGCCCAGAGACGCUCCAGAUCUAUCACUUAGGGUCGUUUUUUCCCUUAAAUCAAGAGACGAUUGACUAAAUCAUCAGCCACGUGAUUGAACUCACUCUCCAGCCCUCCCCAGAGGUGGGCAGGGGGGCCUGAAAGUCCCAGCCUUUACAGCCUCUCCCCUGAACCUACCUGGAAUCGCUCUGUUAGUGUAAACUCAAGGGUACUUGAGAGAGCCGCCUUGUAAAUGAUCAAAACACUCUUAUCGCUCUGGAAUUCCACAGGCUUCGGAAGCUCUGUGUCAGGAACAAGGGGCAAAGAACAAAUGUGUUUUCAUGACAUCGAAGCUAAAUCUGCUGACUUCCCACCCCUUCCAGGCUCUGACCAUCCCGGUCAGACAGGCGCUCCUAACGGGAGGGACUGAGAACCCAGGGUGGCAUUGCGUGAAGUAGACUUAGACCCGCAGAGGUCCUCCCACCCACGUCCACCCGUGUCCUUGACAGCAGACACCUGGUGAGUGGAGGAGUUCAGAGACCGCGGCCUGAAGCUGCCCGCCUGGCUGAGAGCGCAGUGUACCGCAAGGCACAAGUUCUCCGUGCCGUGGGCUUGGCUUUCCCAGCCUUGCCACCUGUCAUCGCUGGACAGACCACCUUCACACGGGAGGUUCCCCUUCAUCAUGAGGCAGUGACCUGUUUAGUCCCCAAGCGAAACCUCUGUGAGGGUUCUUCCUAGGAGCCUGCCUUAGCAAGGGGUGGGGGGGCUUCCCCCCCCCACCCCCAACCCCCAUGUCCACAGGGUCCUGGGAGCCUUUGUACCUCCCCAAAGAGGCUUCUUAAGACCUGGGACAUGCACGGGAGACUCUCUGUGGACUGGCUUGGGGUGAGAGGGGGAGUGGGGAGGAACCCCAAAGGAUAGUGUCAAAAAACAAGGGUGCUUUCAGAGGAGGCGGCCUGGGGACCGAUCCUGCAGGUGCUGGGGGAGUGGGCGGGUGUCAAGGGGGUGAACUGUCCUGCCUAACAGACAGCAGGAACUCGGGGUUGGAAGGGAACCCCACCCACCUCCACCCAGAGACUAUAGGAGAGAGAAGAGGAGACAGGAGGCUGGCCCCUGGCCGGAGAAGAGAGGAAAAUACAAAAACACUUCUGCUGGAAAGUCAAGGGGGUAAGACAGGGCUCCGGGUUUUGGGGGGUGUCCUCCACCCGUGCCUGCAGCCCCCUCCCCAUGCCCCUUACCAGCUUCUGCGGGACAGCAGUUGCAAACCUACCUCCUGCCAUAAGGGUGUGUUUAUUUCCCGCAGAUGAAGCCAACUAGCUGACCCAGAGGGUCCCUCCAGCCUCCAGCUGAUGAGCUGCAUGUCAUGAAUGGAGGGCUAGUUUCAGUUUAUCUUGUUCACUUAGUAACAUCACUUUUCCUCAAGAGAGGGAAGCAGAGUUCCCCCAGUCUCCUUGAUAUGGAUACUAGGCCAGACAAGGUUUAUUAUCAUGCUUCCUCAGGUGAAAUUCCCUACUAAAUGCUCAAGUUUCAUUUCAGUAGGUCUUCAACCUACCUGAUUACGAAGGCUGCUUAGUGACCUUGGGAGCGAGCUUUCACCUUGCAGUCAAUAUUGAACUUGGAAAGUUUCUAUAAGAUGCCAACAUUCAAUUUUUGGCAGAGUUUCCUUCCCCCUUGCCCCCCAAAAAGCAUACAGUUUCCUGUUCAGUUCUAAAAAGUGAAUCUGAUCCUUACUCUGUAGAAACCAAACUGUGCCCUCGCUGUGUAAAAUGGCUUUGUAACUUGUUUCUACAACUUGGUUCUGCCGUGUUUGUGCAGGAGUGCACACAGCCCAACCUCCCUGAGUCUCAUUGUGUGUGAGGCUGUGUGAAGACCCUGUGCCUCAAGAGGAACCAGAUCAGGUGACCGGCGCCAAGCAGAAGCCUGGACCAAGAACUCUCUCCGUUUCUUCCACAUCCAAACUGUUUCAAAUGCAUUUUCAAGCUGUUCAAAAGGGUUGACACAGGGGCACCUUUCGCUGGGGUCUUUGUCCCGAGAGGAGAGGACAGGAAGCCGUUGUCUCCUCAGUAAUGAAUCCCUGGACGACCUCGUGAGAGUCGAGGCGUGAGCGCUGACCAGGGCCCCCGGAGCCGAGACGUGUCUGUGGAGAGCAGGUGUGAGGGCAGAGGUUUGCUCCUCCAAGGAACUGGCAUUUGCUUUCUAAGCCCCAAUCACAGCUCUCUCCUGUUCCCCUUUCCAGUGAACCCCCGUGUACCCCAGAAGUGUUGGAAGCUCGCCACAUGAAGGGAAAGCACACAGAUCGUUUACGUUCUGAGCUCAGCCUUCCACACGAGCUGGUGUGCUGGGGGGCUGGGAUCAAGCGCACACAGGUGGUGACCGCCGGACCUGGGGAGAGCUGUAGGCCACAGAAGGGCCAGGGUGCCGUCUGCUCUGCGCAAAGAGAGAGAGGCCCGGGGCUGGUCUGCGGUCCACCCUCGAAGGCCCUGCAUUCCCCCCGCAGGGGCCUCCCUGCCCGACCUGCCCGAAGGGCCUGUGCUCUAACCGGACAGGGCAGCUCUCUCCUGGACAGCAUUCCAAAAAAGUCUGCCUUGGCUUUGUAACUCUCAGACUGCCGAGAACAGACCCCUUGCGGCAGUUUUCUUUGUGGCCCCUUGAUCCUGGCUCUGUCCGUCUCUGAGCUUUUCAUUCAGAAGCUCGUUUUCCACCCAGAAGAAAGAAGAGAGCUCUCAGGUCCGAUGGGCCGGCCACCGGGCCUGCGUGCUGCCCCCUGUGAUGACCCUGGACACGGUAGCCAGUCCUCUUCCUCAGGCUCUGCCUCGCACAGGUCCAGACAAGCCGAAGCAGUUUUACUUCCUGAGUCUCCUGCUUUAAUAAAUGAAAAAAGAAGACGAAGAAGAAAGUUUAGUAGGCAUUUAUUAA